CACCAGACAAGCGGCCCACCUCUCGCUGCUGUCCUCCGGGGCCGCAGUACAAAGGCAGACGGGAUCGGACAAACCCGGACCCGGGCCCAGCGAGGCGGAACCCACCGAGGUCGGCUUGCGAAGCCCCCGCCGGUCCCUCCCGCUCACGCAGGGGAAGCUGCAGUGGGGGCUGCUCGCUGGUUUAAAAGGCCGCACCUUCCCAGGUGGGGACAGCCGGACACCCGAGGCACUUGAUGUGACACCAAGAGGUACAACAGUGAUCUUGCAAUCAUGAGACCACCUGAGGAUAAAUGCCCACAGUGAGGGUGGAGGAACAGAAAGAUGGAAAGAACCUCGUUUGUAAGAAAUGAACUGAUGGCCUACCCUGGAAUUCUUGUUAGCCUUUGCCCGAGCUGAGUCACAUGAGAGAGGCCAUCUAAGAUGUAUUCCCAAACCCCUAAAAGUGUACAGAGAAGAGACGUUCGUGGUGGGCAAUGGGCUGCAGAGGGGAAGGAGCGACAGACACAGGUUGCAUGAUCUGCGAUGUGGAUGUGGCAGAAGCAGGAGCUCCUCGCCUGCUCCUCUCAGCAGCCAGGACUGCCUUUCCAAGCCCAUUCCUGGAUCAACACCCCUUCCUCCCACUGCAGGGGUACCAGAUGGAGUGCCUUCCCCACAGCUGGUUACCAAGGGCCCUGCCUGGGAGGUGAGAUACCCAUGGCCCCUGGCCUGGCUGAGCAGCUCCUCCCUGGGGCCAGUGUGGGGCUAGAGAGCAGAGUGCAGGGGAGGGAGCGUCUGUGGAAUGCAGCCCUCUCCCCAACACUCAGAGGCCAGCCUGCGGGGGCAUAAUAGAAUACAUUAGUCCGCAGCCCUUUCAGCGCUGCCUCUUUAAGAACAAUGGUGGCAACUGAGCUGAUUUUUGCCAAAUGACUGGCUUUAGUCCAUUGGGAACACAGAGGA